rnacentral:rRNA from 1 species
GAUAGACUUGCUCUUAUGAGUUAGCGGCGGACGGGUGAGUACACGUGGGUAACCUGCCCAUAAGACUGGGAUAACUCCGGGAAACCGGGGCUAAUACCGGAUAACAUUUUGAACUGCAUGGUUCGAAAUUGAAAGGCGGCUUCGGCUGUCACUUAUGGAUGGACCCGCGUCGCAUUAGCUAGUUGGUGAGGUAACGGCUCACCAAGGCAACGAUGCGUAGCCGACCUGAGAGGGUGAUCGGCCACACUGGGACUGAGACACGGCCCAGACUCCUACGGGAGGCAGCAGUAGGGAAUCUUCCGCAAUGGACGAAAGUCUGACGGAGCAACGCCGCGUGAGUGAUGAAGGCUUUCGGGUCGUAAAACUCUGUUGUUAGGGAAGAACAAGUGCUAGUUGAAUAAGCUGGCACCUUGACGGUACCUAACCAGAAAGCCACGGCUAACUACGUGCCAGCAGCCGCGGUAAUACGUANGUGGCAAGCGUUAUCGA